UACGUAGGGUGCAAGCGCUGUCCGGAAUUAUUGGGCGUAAAGAGCUCGUAGGCGGUCUGUUGCGUCGGCUGUGAAAACCCGGGGCUCAACCCCGGGCCUGCAGCCGAUACGGGCAGACUAGAGUUCGGCAGGGGAGACUGGAAUUCCUGGUGUAGCGGUGAAAUGCGCAGAUAUCAGGAGGAACACCGAUGGCGAAGGCAGCUUGCUGGGACGGUACUGACGCUGAGACGCGAAAGCGUGGGGAGCAAACAGG
rnacentral:rRNA from 1 species